GAAUCGCUAGUAAUCGUAGAUCAGCAUGCUACGGUGAAUACGUUCCCGGGUCUUGUACACACCGCCCGUCACACCACGAGAGUUUGUAACACCCGAAGCCGGUGGAGUAACCAUUUGGAGCUAGCCGUCGAAGGUGGGACAAAUGAUUGGGGUGAAGUCGUAACAAGGUAGCCGUAUCGGAAGGUGCGGCUGGAUCACCUCCUUUCUAAGGA
rnacentral:rRNA from 1 species